CAUUCUUCGGACGGUUGGGGAUAUAUCAUAGCCUUUUCAUUUCCCCCCCGACUCAGGUGCGUCCUCCACCGGUUCCCUUUUGCCUCGAGAGCAACAGACCCUGAUAAAUGCAGAUUAUUCGGGCUCCGUUCGACAAGGGGGCUGUACAGUGGGCUCCAGCCAUGCAAUUCUGCGAGGAGUCAUUCAGACUGAAGUGUCAGAUGCACUCUGCGGUCUCCUUUUCGAACACCUAGGGUUCAUG